rnacentral:rRNA from 1 species
UACGUAGGGGGCAAGCGUUGUCCGGAAUCAUUGGGCGUAAAGAGCGUGUAGGCGGUCCGGUAAGUCGGCUGUGAAAGUCCAGGGCUCAACCCUGGGAUGCCGGUCGAUACUGCCGGACUAGAGUUCGGAAGAGGCGAGUGGAAUUCCCGGUGUAGCGGUGAAUGCGCAGAUAUCGGGAGGAACACCUAUGGCGAAGGCAGCUCGCUGGGACGUUACUGACGCUGAGACGCGAAAGCGUGGGGGAGCAAACAGG